AUUGAACGCUGGCGGCAGGCUUAACACAUGCAAGUCGAGCGGAGCGAGGGUGCUUGCACCUUAGCUUAGCGGCGGACGGGUGAGUAAUGCUUAGGAAUCUGCCUAUUAGUGGGGGACAACAUUCCGAAAGGAAUGCUAAUACCGCAUACGCCCUACGGGGGAAAGCAGGGGAUCUUCGGACCUUGCGCUAAUAGAUGAGCCUAAGUCGGAUUAGCUAGUUGGUGGGGUAAAGGCCUACCAAGGCGACGAUCUGUAGCGGGUCUGAGAGGAUGAUCCGCCGCCCGGGGACUGAGACACGGCCCAGACUCCUACGGGAGGCAGCAGUGGGGAAUAUUGGACAAUGGGCGGAAGCCUGAUCCAGCCAUGCCGCGUGUGUGAAGAAGGCCUUUUGGUUGUAAAGCACUUUAAGCGAGGAGGAGGCUACUUAGAUUAAUACUCUGGGAUAGUGGACGUUACUCGCAGAAUAAGCACCGGCUAACUCUGUGCCAGCAGCCGCCGUAA
rnacentral:rRNA from 1 species